UACGUAGGGUGCGAGCGUUGUCCGGAAUUAUUGGGCGUAAAGAGCUCGUAGGCGGUUUGUUGCGUCGGCUGUGAAAUCCCGAGGCUCAACCUCGGGUCUGCAGUCGAUACGAGCAAACUAGAGUGUUGCAGGGGAGACUGGAAUUCCUGGUGUAGCGGUGAAAUGCGCAGAUAUCAGGAGGAACACCAAUGGCGAAGGCAGCUCACUGGGACGGUAUUGACGCUGAGACGCGAAAGCGUGGGGAGCAAACAGG
rnacentral:rRNA from 1 species